rnacentral:sRNA from 1 species
AAAAACGUAUCAGCACGUGGGCACACCACAUUUUUAUAGGUUGUUGCGA